rnacentral:piRNA from 1 species
UGCAACUCGAAUGGCAGAGUGUCUC